UCUACUCCCUGAAGUUUGAGAAUCUCUGAUCUAGUUGGAGGAAGGUACUCUGUAGGUGUUCUCUGAAACGUUCCACGGAGUCCUGGAUGCAGCAUCUGCGCCCAUCAGCCAAGGUGCAGAGGAAGGAUGGAGGCAGGGCCUGAGCACCCAUGCUCUGGAGGCAGAGAGCACCUGAGCCAGAAAGCUGCUUCACAGUGGCUUGCACAGAAGACAUUCAGUUGGCAUUUGUGGAGUUCAGAAAAUUACUGAAUUGAAAGAUAUUUUAAAGGAUGAAAUUGAGAAAAGCACUUUCAGAGUUUAGAAAAUGUGAGAUUUUCAUUCACUUGUCUGUGAGAUUGUUUCCGAGUCCAGUAAAGGCGCUCAGCCUAAAUGGUUUUAUUUUCUUAAAGCUCAGAAUUAAGUUUCUGUUCUUCUUGGGCAGUUUGGUCCAGGCAGUCUCCCUUUCUCCCUUUGCAGUCUUGAGGAACCCAAUGGAAGAAAAAUAGUUCACUUAAUGAAUGCAAAGGACCGGGGCAGGGUAUAGAUUGGCAUGUUUACAGUUAGGUCUGUAGAUGUUUAGGUUUGCUAAAUUCUUGGUCUUCCUCCCAAAGCAGCUAAUUACUUUGAAAACUCUGGCAAGCCUCCACUUGCCCCAUCUCAUGAUUUCUAACGAUUCUGCAUGAAGCAGGACUGUUUUAUUAUGGGAUGUUUUGCAUCUGUUUGACACAGGAACAAACUUAUUUAGAGUGUAGAGAUUACGUGAAGGGAUUGCUUUCUUGAAAAAACAACUUAUAUAGAUGCAAUAAACCUGGGGUUUUGGUUGGGGUUGUUUGGCCUGGCUGUGUCUCUUCAACUUUGUGGUCAAUUUCCCAUCUGACUUGUGUGGACACAGCCCUAGGGAGGCAGGGCAGGCACCAGGAUUUGGAGGUAGGGGAAAUUCCUUUUCAUUUCCUGUUGCAUCUUAAAAGAGGAGCUGAUCACCAGAGCCUUGGUAUGUUAAAUUCAGAGCUCAGGAAAUGCUGCCUGGAAUGGAAGAGCCCUUUAACACCUCUUGGGCUGCUUUUCCUCAGAGCUGUCAGGGUUUGCAGAGCAUGGAGUUCCAGCUGCCUGCUGCUGUGACCAUCUCCAGGAGGCCUUGGGCUCGGGCCCUGCCUGUGGCUGAUCUGACCCAAAGCCAGAGAUGCAGCCCAAGGGCAUCAUUUCAUCUGAACUUUCCCCUUCCGAGGUCAUCACACUUCAGGAAAAGGACUCCCCGCCAGCCCCCUUCACCCCCUAAAACCAAAGGGGAGAAAAGCCAAGUGUGGGCUCUGUGUGGAGACGGAACCUGCAGGAAACAUCACUUGCCUCUUUAUUAGGGGAAGUCAUUUGGAACGACUCUGAGUAUUGUGCCCCAAGCAUGGGUUCUGGCAGAGAGAAGGGAUCUGCACUGGUGACACAUUGCAGCGUUUGGUCAUGCGGAAAGAAUGAUCUUCAGGAAAAAUCACACCCUCGGCAAAGGACUUUUCCAGAGGCAGGGGCACCGGCGAUGCUGCCAAGCUGCCGGAGAAGGGCACCUUAUCGUCACAGUCACGACUCCAAGAACCCGAACCGGUUACCGUUGGCAAGGGCGGAAGGAAGUCCUUUGUGGUAGCUUCUUGGAGGAGCAGAGGAAGAUCCGGGAUUUCGAGGGAUCCUCUUUGAGGAUCCUCUAAAUGUUCCUGAGUGAAAACAUCAUGUGAACAAGAGUGUUUAGUAUGUCCUUGCCUGUACCAGUCGGGGACACACCUCUGGCAUUUCGGGGAGACGCUGGGAUUCGCCGGAAGGGGUGUUUCAUGGACACGUGACCCGACAUGUCUUUGAUGUUCAUCAGGCUUCCCAGAGUCCUGCUCAUGUCCAGGGCGGAGCUGGUGUCUGAGUUGGAAAGGCUGUCCUGGAAGGAGAGAGAGAGACGACCGCUCCACCCUCCAUCAUGGGAGUCUCCAGCCGGAAGCUGCGCUCAGGGAUGACAGGAGCGAAACUCAGGAGGCGACCCUCAUUUCGGUUCCUGGCCACUCAGUCUGAACUCCUGGCCACUGCUUUCUAAAGAGGACCGUGCUCCGACCCUCAGAGAAGGCUGUGCAAUGUGUUAUACACGGCUCCUCUGCUCUGAUGGCUCUGUCUUCCCUCUAGAACAAGGGCUCGCGGUGGGCGUGACUCUGUCCCUUCCCCUGGGACAUUCAGCAAUGUCUGGACACCCUUUUUGCCGUCACGUCUGAGGAGGGGGAGUGCUACUGGCAUCUAGCGGGAAGAGGGUAGCGAUGUCCCUACACAUCCUGCCAGAUGCUGGUCAGCCCCUCACAGACUGGGCAGGAAUGAUCUGCCCCAAAUAUCAGUGGUGCUGAGGUCCAGGGUCCCCAUCUGGACAACAAGCGCUACAGGGACCAUGUCUCUGCUCACUAAACUCCUUGGGCCUAGGGUGGCCCCUGACACCGAGUGGCCUGGUAUGGGCACAACUGUUGAAUGAAUGGAUGAAGGUUACAUAGAACAUGUCCCCUCUCCUUUUAUGAGAGCAAUCGUUUCAUGCAGCAGAAGCGCGGCCUUCGGAAAGCAUGGGCAAGGGCUGUCCUGGUGGAGUGUGUGGCUGGUGGCCCAGGCUCCCUGCAGGCUCUUUCCUGGGAUGACACACUGGCUGAGACCCCCGUAACUGCAGGCUGCUGAAAGCCCCUCCCCCAAAGCAAUGGGGAAGCCAUCAUGCCACAUGGGGAGUCUGGAGAGCCACCAACGGCCACCCUCAAGGUCCUCAGAACCAGAUGGGCCUGCAGUGGUUGCUAGGAACAUCACGGACAUUUCACCCACAGCCUCUGCUGCACCGCCCUGUCACCCUCCGAGAUGAACAAUGGAAACCCCCACUAUAAAGGAGAAAGGCCAAACGUGACAGUGACAGGAGGGACAUAUUUACCUACGUCAAGUGGACAUAGUUACUGGGGUGAGAAAAAAGAGGGUCUUGGCAGAGCUAUGGAACCUUUGUCCGUUCAUUCAACAGUUGGAGCAGAUUGGCUGCAGAGAGAACCCAAAAGGUCUUUACCUCUGGGACCUUGCAUGAGCUACUUGACCUUCAGAAGCCUGAAUUUUUCAUAUCUCCAAAAUGGGAACAAUAACAACAUCGGUGCCCAGGCUGCCGGGAGGGGUGGGCGGGGUAACGCCCGUGGUCGGAGCCCUGGGCAUCGUCAGCUGUGCGUCCUCCGUGUUUUCAUUUUAAUCACUGCCUGCCUUGGAGGACUGGGGUUCUCCAGGAGAGUGGGGAGGUUUCUGCUGUGUGGUGUCAGGAGUGGGCCUGGGGGUCACCUCCAAGGGCAAGGUCACUCUGGGAAGUAGGGUCAGGCUUUGAGGUCUAGUUGACCUCCAGGCCCAAACUCGGAGAAGGAGGGUUUGAUUUCAUCAAGAAAACCAAUUCAUUUCCAAAGACAUUCAUCCUGGCCUCUAGGAAAUGUCCGCAAAAAUCUCUGGACGGAAUGUCGGCCCAGACAGGAUGGCCUCAUUACUUCUUCCAGAAGCCUGUGUGGGGUUCAGACCCAACUGUGCAGCAGGCGGCCACUCAGAAGGUCUUGUGGUUGACGGUGACCUUGCUGCCCGUUGUCAUGUGCCCAUGGUGCCCAGUCAAACAGCUACGUGGGGUACAAGGGCACCUUCAAACCACCUCUGAAAAUCCUGGCCACCAGGCCUGUACCCCUUUCAGAGGGCGGGUUUCCUGGAACACGACUAUUUAACUAACAUUGAACAGUGACGACAGCUGUCAUUUGAUAAAUGGGCACUGUGAGCUGGGCACUGGACAGAAAGAACUCCUUGGAUUUUCAUCAUCAUUCGGCAGCUGGGAAAUACAAUCUCAAGAGCCUUGCCCAAGGCCACCCAGCUUUCAGGCUGGGAUUUGGACAUGGUUCCCUCUGACCCCUGAACUUGAGUCUCAUCACUCUUCCCUGCUGCUACCUCUUACAUUUAUAGUUGACAGGGAGAGGAGACCUGAGGCAAACUCGGGUCAUAAUGUUACGAAGUGGCCCACUGAGCGGGACCUGGCGGCCGAGGGCCCGUGUCUGCCCUCACGCCCACCCUCUUCGCGUGCCCCUUCACUGCGGAGACAAGGUUUCUUUGGUUACCGCGUGGAUCUCUAUUCUGGAGGGAGUUGGCAGGUCGGAUUUUGUGUCCACUAUUAUUUUCUGGACGUUUUUCUCCAUUCUGAGCGUCUUUAGUUCCAGGAACGAUUCGUUCAGGUGGUCCUUACAAUCUAGAAGAGAAAGAAUGCAGCAGGCUCAGGACGGGGCUCCUCCAGCGAAUCCCCACUGCUGCGGUCUGCGGGACACUUACCACGGGCUGCGAGUCCUCACGACCUCCCCAGCAGAUGGGGACACUGAGGCCUAGAGAGAUCACGUGGCCGGACCCAGCCGCGCAGCAGCACCAGGUGGCGGCAGCCACACAGGUGUCAGGGCUGAGGCCUCAAGGGCGAGCUUCCAGACACAGGGACCAGGACGGGCUGGACCUGGGGCUUCAGGCCUGAGCCACCCUGGUGCCCCGCGGGACCGUAAGCUCCCAGUCUGGAGACGGCCCCUUCUCCUGUGAAUGGGGUCUGCUAAGAGAUUCCCCGACGCUGACCCUCAGGUAGUGACGUCCAUGACAAAGUCUCCUCCCGGCCACAGUGAAAUAAGGAGAAGGAGGACACGGCCCCUCUGUAGGCACUGAGUGAGACUGAGAAGCGGACAGACAGACUGUCUCUGGGGCAGACGGAUGACAGACAUAGUCCCUCCCCUGCCCUCCUAGGCUCAUCCUGCCUCACGCUGGAGACCCAAAAUCCCAGACAUCGCCGCCAGCCCCGCAGCCCAGCAAACACAGGCAGAGUCCGGGGAGCCUGGUGUGCACCGGGACCCUGUGUGCAUUUCCCUGUCUCUGGCUCAGGGCCUGGCAUACAGCAGGUGCUCAACAGUUGUUGACUGAAGGAAUGGCUGGGUGCUUGGGCUCUUGAUGCCUGGCAGGGGAGAGCAUCUUUGCUGGCACAUUUGGCCCCAUUUCCAAGGGACAGUCCACAGCCUGCUCUCUGGUUUUAUAAAGCCUCGGGGAGAGGACGAGUGGACUCCAGGAAGCCAGGGCUUCCAGGAACCUUGGCACCUGACCACCAGGGAGACGACCCCGCACCAGCCUCAGGGUCAGAGUGAGGGCCAGCUUCAGGGACCACCGGAUGCAGGCUGCUGUCACUCAAAGACUCACUCCCCACUGGAUGUGCAGCUGAGACUCGCAGGCUGGCAAAGAUGCCUGGGUGCUUGUGCACAGAGGGUUUAUCAAGAGACAGCCGGGGGCGUUAAUUGAGUGGCUCUUUGGGAAGACCGUUUGGUUCUAUGAAGCACAAUUGAGGAAGUCCUUUGGAUCCAGCAGUUGCACAUCUAGGAAUGUGCUCUACACACGCACGAGUACUCUAACUAGAGCAUCAUGUGAAAGAAGCAACCUAAAUAUCCAUUAGCUGGGGAUUGGUUGGAAAAAGGGGCAAAAUGGAAUUCUAUGAGGCGGAAACUUAUAUACUUUCUUGAAAAUAUGCCCAUUAAACAGUGUUAUGUGAAAAUAAAAAAGCUGCAGAAUAUAUAUGGUCUGAUACCAUUGGCAAAAAAAAAAUCAUCUACUAAAUAAGUUUACGUAUGUAAGGGUUUGUGCGUGUAUUCACACAUGUGUAUAAGUAAAAUCUAUUUCUCAACCUC